rnacentral:rRNA from 1 species
GACGAACGCUGGCGGCGCGCUUAACACAUGCAAGUCGAGCGAAGCGGCGGACGGGUGAGUAACACGUGAGUAACCUGCCUUAGACAUUGGGAUAGCCUCGGGAAACCGGGAUUAAUACCAAAUGGUCUAAGAUGGACUCGCGUCCCAUUAGCUAGUUGGUGGGUAACGGCCCACCAAGGCGACGAUGGGUAGCCCGCCUGAGAGGGUGAACGGCGACUUUGGAACUGAGAAACGGUCGAAAAUCUACGGGAGGCAGCAGUGGGGAAUCGUGCAAAAUGGAGGGAACGCUGAUGCAGCGAGGCCCGGUGAACGAAGAAGGCUGUCGAGUCGUAAAGUGCUUUUAUAUGGGAAGCGGUACCAUAAGAAAAAGCCACGGCUAACUACGUGCCAGCAGCCGCGGUAAUAC